GACGGAGGGUGCUAGCGUUGUUCGGAAUCACUGGGCGUAAAGGGCGCGUAGGCGGCCUUGCAAGUCGGUUGGUGAAAGCCCGGGGCUCAACCCCGGAGGUGCGGCCGAGACUGCAGGGCUGGAGGCCGGAAGAGGAGGGUGGAAUACCCAGUGUAGAGGUGAAAUUCGUAGAUAUUGGGUGGAACACCGGUGGCGAAAGCGGCUCUCUGGUCCGGACCUGACGCUGAGGAACGAAAGCGUGGGGAGCGAACAGG
rnacentral:rRNA from 1 species